rnacentral:rRNA from 1 species
AUUGAAAGCUGGCGGCAGGCCUAACACAUGCAAGUCGAACGAGUGGCGGACGGGUGUGUAAUGUAUAGGAAACUGCCUGAUGGAGGGGGAUACCUACUGGAAACGGUAGCUAAUCCGGCAUCACAUGGGAUGUGCCAUGGUGGAAUUAGCGAGGAGGUGGGGUAAAGGCUAACAUAGGAGACGAUCCCUAGCUGGUCUGAGAGGAUGACCAGCCACACUGGAACUGAGACACGGUCCAGAAUCCUACGGGAGGCAGCAGUGGGGAAUAUUGCACAAUGGGCGCAAGCCUGAUGCAGCCAUGCCGCGUGUAUGAAGAAGGCCUUCGGGUUGUAAAGUACUUUCAGCGGGGAGGCGUUACCCGCAGAAGAAGCACCGGCUAACUCCGUGCCAGCAGCCGCGGUAAUUC